UUUAUAUCAGACGUAUUUUCUUCUCUUUGCCUUUCACAAUUCCCCUUUCUCUAUAUUCUCCUACUUCUGUUUCCCCUGUCACGGAAGACUGCUUUACCCACAUUUUACCACCACGCAUCGUUAGAAAGCGAUAGAUUGCUCAACGAAAGCAUGUUGUCUCUUUCGAAUAUAGAACGCCUCCUUCGCUGAACGCGCGGUCUAUUUAUUAUACGUCUAUGGUUGUAUAUUAUGCGUUAUGCAGAAGUCUGUGCUCUGGCCCUUACGUUUACGAAUUUUUACUUGCGUUGCUCCAUAUGAUGGUACGUGUUGGAGACUUGCGACUUUACGGUUACGUUUAAGAAAUUUUUACGUGCCUUUAACAUAUUGAAUUAAUUUAAGGAUAUUGAGAAAGAAAGUAUGAAACCAAAGAAUCAAACUAUACAAUCAUCAGUAAAAGGCUGUGGACUCUUUUCCAUCUGAGUACCACUAAAAGCAGAAACAACAAAGCAUAAUAAUACUCUAAUACCUCAAGUUGUUAAAAAUACACUAAUGAAACCAAGUAUUCAUCAAACAAAAAUAUAAAAACAAUCUAGUACAAGUCAGAUUAAUAAUUCUAAAGCAGAAAAGAUAGUCAUAAAUAAAAUAUGUACUGAAACGAAUUCUGAUGAUGAAGAUUAAGCAGUUGACUUUUUGGUCUAACUUCAAGUAAGGACGUACCAGAUGAUUCUAUGAUGGUAUCUUCAGAUUCCGAGUUAUAUUCAGAUGCGGUGCCAAGAGGUCAGUCUUCAAAUAAUGAAGAAAAUGAGCAGUGUAAUACAUUGUUAAAUGUAAAAGAAGUUUUCAAUAUUGAAAAUAGUAAAACCAGUAUCUUGACUGACAGUAUUGAUCAUAAUUAUAUUGAUAACGAAGCUGCUAUAAAGAACACAUUUAAUGGAAUUAUCAUAUACACCUAUCAAAAAAGGAGUUAUACACCUGAAUACAAAACAGAUAGCUGUUGAAAUGAAACCAGGAGAAUAUUCCAUUAUAUCCGAUACACAAAGUAUUAGAAACAACUCAACAAAUACAGACUCAGAGGAAGAAACAUCUAUUGAGGAGACGGUUCAAUCUAAAAAUUUAAAGAAAUUACAAAAUGAAAAUAGAACAUUGAAAUGGAAGUUGCAGAGACGUGAUAAAAAUAUUAGUUCAAUGGAAACAAUGCUUAAUGAAUUACAACAAAAGUAAAUCAUGGAUAAUGACAGUUCGCAAUUACUAAAAGAACACUUUGGUGGUGUUAUGUUCGAAAUUAUGCAAAAUGAAGUAAAAAACCAGAAGCGCAAAAGUAAAGGUGAACGUUAUACAGACGAGAUACAUUAAAACAACACAGAUACUUUCUACAAACGUCUUAAUGAUGUUCCAAGAUUCUAAGAAAAUGUUCAGAUUACCUGCUCCAUCAACUUUGAGAAAACUACUAUUGUCAGUUGAUGCAGAGCCUGGCUUCCAUGAAAACAUAUUAUCCGAGAUAGGAAAACUGUCGACAGAUGAUCGAUAUUGUAAUCUCGUGUUAGAUGCCAUGGCACUUAGAAAACAAAUGAUAUGGGAUGAUUAUAAGCAUCAAAUGGUAGGCAUACCUGAUUAUGGAAAUAUGGGACUGUUGGGAAAAAUGGAUUCCAAAGACAGGAUCGCAACCGAGGCAUUGAUGUUUAUGCUUGUUAGUCUUAAUGGAAAGUGGAAGUGGCCUAUUGCCUAAUUUUUUAAAAGCAAUAUGACAUCAAUAAUGCAGACUGAGCUAAUAAAAUCUGCAUUAAUAUUGACUGAUAAGUAUAAUAUAUGUUCAUGUUACGUAUAUAUAUAUUUUAUAUAUGCAAUGUUGAAAUACAUGUUAUGAAAUAAUGUUUAAAAAUAAAAAACAAGUACAGAACAGUUUUCUCGUCUUUUUGUGUGCUGACGAACUGAUUUUAUGCGU